UAUUGGGCGUAGAGGGCUCGCAGGCGGUUCCUUAAGUCUGAUGUGAAAGCCCCCGGCUCAACCGGGGAGGGUCAUUGGAAACUGGGGAACUUGAGUGCAGAAGAGGAGAGUGGAAUUCCACGUGUAGCGGUGAAAUGCGUAGAGAUGUGGAGGAACACCAGUGGCGAAGGCGACUCUCUGGUCUGUAACUGACGCUGAGGAGCGAAAGCGUGGGGAGCGAACAGGAUUAGAUACCCUGGUAGUCCACGCCGUAAACGAUGAGUGCUAAGUGUUAGGGGGUUUCCGCCCCUUAGUGCUGCAGCUAACGCAUUAAGCACUCCGCCUGGGGAGUACGGUCGCAAGACUGAAACUCAAAGGAAUUGACGGGGGCCCGCACAAGCGGUGGAGCAUGUGGUUUAAUUCGAAGCAACGCGAAGAACCUUACCAGGUCUUGACAUCCUCUGACAAUCCUAGAGAUAGGACGUCCCCUUCGGGGGCAGAGUGACAGGUGGUGCAUGGUUGUCGUCAGCUCGUGUCGUGAGAUGUUGGGUUAAGUCCCGCAACGAGCGCAACCCUUGAUCUUAGUUGCCAGCAUUCGGUUGGGCACUCUAAGGUGACUGCCGGUGACAAACCGGAGGAAGGUGGGGAUGACGUCAAAUCAUCAUGCCCCUUAUGACCUGGGCUACACACGUGCUACAAUGGACAGAACAAAGGGCAGCGAAACCGCGAGGUUAAGCCAAUCCCACAAAUCUGUUCUCAGUUCGGAUCGCAGUCUGCAACUCGACUGCGUGAAGCUGGAAUCGAUAGUAAUCGCGGAUCAGCAUGCCGCGGUGAAUACG
rnacentral:rRNA from 1 species